UACGUAGGGUGCAAGCGUUAAUCGGAAUUACUGGGCGUAAAGCGUGCGCAGGCGGUUUUGUAAGUUUGUCGUGAAAGCCCCGGGCUCAACCUGGGAAUUGCGAUGAAGACUGCAAGGCUUGAAUCUGGCAGAGGGGGGUAGAAUUCCACGUGUAGCAGUGAAAUGCGUAGAGAUGUGGAGGAACACCGAUGGCGAAGGCAGCCCUCUGGGCCGUAACUGACGCUGAGGAGCGAAAGCAUGGGGAGCGAACAGG
rnacentral:rRNA from 1 species